AACGAACGCUGGCGGCAUGCCUAACACAUGCAAGUCGAACGAGACCUUCGGGUCUAUUGGCGCACGGGUGCGUAACGCGUGGGAACCUGCCCUUAGGUGCGGAAUAACUCCCCGAAAGGGGUGCUAAUACCGGAUAAUGUCUUCGGCCCAAAGAUUUAUCGCGUUUGGAUGGUCCCGCGUUGGAUUAGCUCGUUGUUAGGGUAAAAGCCUACCAAGGCGACGAUCCAUAGCUGGUCUGAGAGGAUGGUCAGCCACACUGGGACUGAGACACGGCCCAGAAUCCUCCGGGAGGCAGCAGUGGGGAAUGUUGGAAAAUGGGCGAAAUGCUGAUCCAGCAAUGCCGCGUGAGUGAUGAAGGCCUUAGGGUUGUAAAGCUCUUUUAACCGGGAUGAUAAUGACAGUACCGAGAGAAUAAGCCCCGGCUAACUCCGUG
rnacentral:rRNA from 1 species